CCCUUAGAUGUUCUGGGCCGCACGCGCGCUACACUGAUGCAUUCAACGAGCCUAUCCUUGACCGACAGGUCCGGGUAAUCUUUGAAUCUGCAUCGUGACGGGGAUAGAUUAUUGCAAUUAAUAAUCUUCAACGAGGAAUGCCUAGUAGGCGCAAGUCAUCAGCUUGCGUCGAUUACAUCCCUGCCCUUUGUACACACCGCCCGUCGCUCCUACCGAUUGGGUGUGCUGGUGAAAUGUUCGGAUCGGCCGUUUGUCGCGGUUUCCGCGUCAUGUGGCUGAGAAGUUCAUUAAACCCUCCCACCUAGAGGAAGGAGAAGUCGUAACA
rnacentral:rRNA from 1 species